CUGAGAAGGACAUAGCCAAAGCUAGAAUGGAUGUAGCUCGUGAGGUUAGGUUGGCAAAAGAGGCUGAAGCAGAAAUGGACCUACAUGUUUCAAAAGCAGGGGAGAGGGUUGAAAAAGAAAUUGCGAAGCAUACACCAUCUAACAAUCCAAAUGCUAAUAGUGAGGGCAUGAAUCCAGUGGUGGGUGAUCCUACAAUGGAAACAGCAAAUGGACCCACAUAUACGGCUACAUGAAAAUGUGGUUCAAACAUAUAUGGAGUAUAUAUCCAGCUAAUAGAAAGCUUUUGGUGUCUAGAAAAUAGAAAUCAAAUAAAAUUGAUUAGGGUGAUUUAUGGGAUUUUUUUUCUUUUGUGGAAAUAUUUCUAUUGUAUUAAUUCCAUUGUAUAUUUCUCAGGCAUUUCUCUUGAACUGUCUUAAAAUAAACUCUUGAUUUUGUAAAAUUGUUCAG
rnacentral:lncRNA from 1 species